rnacentral:tRNA from 1 species
AGGAAAUUAGGUUAGUCAGACCAAGAGCCUUCAAAGCCCUAAGCAAAUAUAAACAAUAUUUAUUUCCUG